GACGAACGCUGGCGGCGUGCUUAACACAUGCAAGUCGAACGGAAAGGCCCUGCUUUUGUGGGGUGCUCGAGUGGCGAACGGGUGAGUAACACGUGAGUAACCUGCCCUUGACUUUGGGAUAACUUCAGGAAACUGGGGCUAAUACCGGAUAGGAGCUCCUGCUGCAUGGUGGGGGUUGGAAAGUUUCGGCGGUUGGGGAUGGACUCGCGGCUUAUCAGCUUGUUGGUGGGGUAGUGGCUUACCAAGGCUUUGACGGGUAGCCGGCCUGAGAGGGUGACCGGCCACAUUGGGACUGAGAUACGGCCCAGACUCCUACGGGAGGCAGCAGUGGGGAAUAUUGCACAAUGGGCGGAAGCCUGAUGCAGCAACGCCGCGUGCGGGAUGACGGCCUUCGGGUUGUAAACCGCUUUCGCCUGUGACGAAGCGUGAGUGACGGUAAUGGGUAAAGAAGCACCGGCUAACUACGUGCCAGCAGCCGCGGUGAUACGUAGGGUGCGAGCGUUGUCCGGAUUUAUUGGGCGUAAAGGGCUCGUAGGUGGUUGAUCGCGUCGGAAGUGUAAUCUUGGGGCUUAACCCUGAGCGUGCUUUCGAUACGGGUUGACUUGAGGAAGGUAGGGGAGAAUGGAAUUCCUGGUGGAGCGGUGGAAUGCGCAGAUAUCAGGAGGAACACCAGUGGCGAAGGCGGUUCUCUGGGCCUUUCCUGACGCUGAGGAGCGAAAGCGUGGGGAGCGAACAGGCUUAGAUACCCUGGUAGUCCACGCUGUAAACGGUGGGUACUAGGUGUGGGGUCCAUUCCACGGGUUCCGUGCCGUAGCUAACGCUUUAAGUACCCCGCCUGGGGAGUACGGCCGCAAGGCUAAAACUCAAAGGAAUUGACGGGGCCCCGCACAAGCGGCGGAGCAUGCGGAUUAAUUCGAUGCAACGCGUAGAACCUUACCUGGGUUUGACAUGGAUCGGGAGUGCUCAGAGAUGGGUGUGCCUCUUUUGGGGUCGGUUCACAGGUGGUGCAUGCCUGUCGUCAGCUCGUGUCGUGAGAUGUUGGGUUAAGUCCCGCAACGAGCGCAACCCUUGUUCACUGUUGCCAGCACGUUAUGGUGGGGACUCAGUGGAGACCGCCGGGGUCAACUCGGAGGAAGGUGGGGAUGACGUCAAGUCCUCAUGCCCCUUAUGUCCAGGGCUUCACGCAUGCUACAAUGGCUGGUACAGGGAGUGGCGAGCCUGUGAGGGUGAGCGAAUCUCGGAAAGCCGGUCUCAGUUCGGAUUGGGGUCUGCAACUCGACCUCAUGAAGUCGGAGUCGCUAGUAAUCGCAGAUCAGCAACGCUGCGGUGAAUACGUUCCCGGGGCUUGUACUCACCGCCCGUC
rnacentral:rRNA from 1 species